AGCAAAAGUAUAUAUAGAAUUAAGAUGGCUUUGAAGGUCCCAACUAUAGAUUUUAGAAAGUCAUCAGAGUGGAAAAAAGGAAGUGAAAAAUGCGAUUUAGUGAGAGAUGAAGUUUACAAAUCUUUAGAAAAAUUUGGUUGUUUUGAGGCUUUACUUGAUGAAGAUAUUCCAAAAGAAAAACUAUAUGAUAAGAUAAAAGAAAUUUUCAACUUCAAUUUGGAGAAAAUAUUUGGAAACUCACAAAAUGUGUUAGCUGGUUAUACUGGGGCUAAUCCUAAAAUAUCACUUCAAGAGAGAUUUGUGAUUAAGAAUGUCUUCACUCAUGGUCUUAUUGAGAAUCUUUCUAACCAACUUUGGCCUGAGGGAGACCCUGAAUUCUGUGAUUUGGUGCUUACUUACUCCAAGAAGUUAUCAGGAUUUGAAGAUAUGGUAAGAAAAAUGAUAUUGAGAGAUUGAGACUGGAAAAUUACUUGGAUGAGCACAAAAAAAUAUUGGUGUUCGUCCUCAUACUGACAAAAUCAUUUCAGUAAUUUUAAGCCAAUGCGAUCAACAUGUUAAUGGGCUGCAAAUAAUGGACAAAAAUGGGCAGUGGAUUGAUGUUCAAUACUCAUCACCUCAUUCAUACUUGUUCCUUGUUAGUGACUGUUUGAAAGCAUUUACAAAUGGUAGGCUGCAUCAAGUGAUAAUGGAAAAUAAUGAAGAGAGGUAUUGUAUGAGUUUUUCCCAAAUUCCUAAAGAAGGGUAUAUCAUUAAAGUCCCUGAUGAACUUGUUGAUGAAGAUCAUCCUUUGCUUUACAAGCCCUUUGAUGGUUCCAAACUUCUUCCAUUUUAUUUGUCAGAGGCUAGGCGCGGCGUUGUUGCUACUCUAGACAGCUAUUGUGGUGUCACAACCAGUAUUCAGAACUAGACUUGAUACUGAUAAUUAUAACUCCCUUCCGGCCUCUAUGACCAGUGGCGGAGCCACAGCCAACGAAGGGUGGUCAGAUGAACAUCCUUCGUCGGAAUUUUUUUCCGAGUAUAUAAGUUAAAUAUAGAUAUUUAUGGUUAUAUACAUGUUGUUGCACACUCUUGACAAGCUAAAAAAUCAUAGUCUAGUGGUCAAGAGUGUGCAUUUCCGCAUCAACACCCCGGGUUUGAACCUUGACAGCUGCAACAUUACUUUAUUUUCUUUAUUUCUUAAACAGUUCUUUGUUCAAGAAAAAAUAUGAACACUCUUACCCAAAAGUCUGACUCUGUCACUGUCUAUGACACUCUAAGCUACUAUUUUCCUUGUGUACUUGAGAGUAUGUGGUAUCUUUUUUAUUAAUAGUUCAUUGUGGAACCUCGAUCUCCUCGUUUGGCCCUCGAUCCAUCUUAUAAUUAAUAGUUCUAUAUUACCAUUUUCCCUUA